UAUAUACUACCCACACAAAUACACACAGACUACACUAGACACACCCACACGGGAAACAAUCAGAAACACAACCUUACCCCUACAAGCAUAAACACACACACGCUGCACACACAUACACAUUCACGCAAAAAAGAGAAAAACAAAAUUCAUCCAAAACAAUGCUUUACUACGCGGAAAGAAGAAGAAGAAGAAAACACUUUCAUUUUAUUUUAUUCUUCUUUCAAACAAUAAUCAUACAUUCACAUAUAUUCUUCCUUGCCCAUUAUUUUCAUAUCAACACAAACACAUAUACCAUCAGAAACAACCUAAAAAAAACUUGUGGGUGUUCUAAUCGAGCU
rnacentral:lncRNA from 1 species